ACGGGUGAGUAAUGCCUAGGAAUCUGCCUGGUAGUGGGGGAUAACGUUCGGAAACGGACGCUAAUACCGCAUACGUCCUACGGGAGAAAGCAGGGGACCUUAUGGCCUUGCGCUAUCAGAUGAGCCUAGGUCGGAUUAGCUAGUUGGUGAGGUAAUGGCUCACCAAGGCGACGAUCCGUAACUGGUCUGAGAGGAUGAUCAGUCACACUGGAACUGAGACACGGUCCAGACUCCUACGGGAGGCAGCAGUGGGGAAUAUUGGACAAUGGGCGAAAGCCUGAUCCAGCCAUGCCGCGUGUGCGAAGAAGGUCUUCGGAUUGUAAAGCACUUUAAGUUGGGAGGAAGGGCAGUUACCUAAUACGUGAUUGUUUUGACGUUACCGACAGAAUAAGCACCGGCUAACUCUGUGCCAGCAGCCGCGGUAAUACAGAGGGUGCAAGCGUUAAUCGGAAUUACUGGGCGUAAAGCGCGCGUAGGUGGUUUGUUAAGUUGGAUGUGAAAUCCCCGGGCUCAACCUGGGAACUGCAUUCAAAACUGACUGACUAGAGUAUGGUAGAGGGUGGUGGAAUUUCCUGUGUAGCGGU
rnacentral:rRNA from 1 species